rnacentral:rRNA from 1 species
UACGUAGGGGGGCAAGCGUUGUCCGGAUUUAUUGGGCGUAAAGAGCGUGUAGGCGGCCAGAUAGGUCUGUUGUGAAAACUCGAGGCUCAACCUCGAGACGCCGAUGGAAACCAUCUGGCUAGAGUCCGGAAGAGGAGAGUGGAAUUCCUGGUGUAGCGGUGAAAUGCGCAGAUAUCAGGAAGAACACCGAUGGCGAAGGCAGGUCUCUGGGCCACUACUGACGCUGAGAAGCGAAAGCAUGGGGAGCGAACAGG